rfam:Pseudozyma brasiliensis GHG001 unplaced genomic scaffold PSETBRA_SCAF21, whole genome shotgun sequence.
CCGGACAUAGCUCAGUUGGAAGUAGCGAUGGUUUGUAAUUGGAAACCCUAAUCCGGCAUUAACGGAAAAGCACCAUAGGUCGCCGGUUCGAUUCCGGCUGUCCGGA